UACAGAGGUCUCAAGCGUUGUUCGGAUUCAUUGGGCGUAAAGGGUGCGUAGGCGGCGCGGUAAGUCGGGUGUGAAAUCUCGGAGCUUAACUCCGAAACUGCAUUCGAUACUGCCGUGCUUGAGGACUGGAGAGGAGACUGGAAUUUUACGGUGUAGCGGUGAAAAUGCGUAGAUAUCGUAAGGAAGACCAGUGGCGAAGGCGGGUCUCUGGACAGUUCCUGACGCUGAGGCACGAAGGUCAGGGGGAGCAAACGGG
rnacentral:rRNA from 1 species